rnacentral:rRNA from 1 species
UGGGGAAUAUUGCACAAUGGGCGCAAGCCUGAUGCAGCCAUGCCGCGUGUGUGAAGAAGGCCUUCGGGUUGUAAAGCACUUUCAGCGAGGAGGAAGGUGGUGAACUUAAUAUGUUCAUCAAUUGACGUUACUCGCAGAAGAAGCACCGGCUAACUCCGUGCCAGCAGCCGCGGUAAUACGGAGGGUGCAAGCGUUAAUCGGAAUUACUGGGCGUAAAGCGCACGCAGGCGGUUUGUUAAGUCAGAUGUGAAAUCCCCGGGCUCAACCUGGGAACUGCAUUUGAAACUGGCAAGCUAGAGUCUCGUAGAGGGGGGUAGAAUUCCAGGUGUAGCGGUGAAAUGCGUAGAGAUCUGGAGGAAUACCGGUGGCGAAGGCGGCCCCCUGGACGAAGACUGACGCUCAGGUGCGAAAGCGUGGGGCAGCAAACAGGAUUAGAUACCCUGGUAGUCCACGCUGUAAACGAUGUCGAUUUGGAGGUUGUGCCCUUGAGGCGUGGCUUCCGGAGCUAACGCGUUAAAGUCGACCG